GUUUAAGGGUGGGCUUCCACUACCUAAUGGGCUUUUUCAGCCCAUUAUCCUUCAGACCCAGCCCAAGUAAAAGCUAUUGCCGCGUGUGUCUAUUUAUUCACAGAUAUUUUCCCUCCCAAGAGGAAUUAACGCGCACCUUCCCUUCAUCCUCAAGCGCUUCGAAGAACAGCGCAAGAGGCAAAGUAUUUUUUUUUUUUUAUUCUUUUUUGAGAAGUUCGUCAACCACAGUUAGUUUACGAUGAAUCCGUACGAUCACAGAUAUGCCGACCCCAACUCUUACCGACAACGGCGUAGCGAUUUAAUGGGCCCACCACCUCAAAUUGGGCCAAUGGGCCGGGACGGGCCUUCUACGUACGGGGGUCCUCCGCCGGCAGCUGGUUUUUCUGGAAAAGGUCCUGGAGUUGCUGGCGGAUCCGUUUCCGGUGUGUAUCAACCAGUCGGUAGAUUCGAUGUUGGUCGUGGCGGCGGUGGAAGGGGAUUUAGUAGUAGUAGAGGCCAUAGUUCAGAUAGAAGAGGCGGUGGACGUGGUCGUGACAGUGGAGGGAGAGGCUUUGACUCGGGCCGCGGUGGUGGUAGAGCUGGUGGAGCUCGUGGAAGAGGAGGUAGACAUGGUGGUGGUUCUUAUCGGGAUGACUUGGAUAAUAUUUCGCUUCCGAAACAAGAUUUCGGAAAUUUAGUUCCUUUUGAGAAGAACUUCUAUGUUGAAAGCCCUUCUGUACGUGCGAUGACGGAAACGGAGGUUAAGAUGUAUCGUGCUAGGAGGGAGAUUACCAUUGAAGGUCAUGAUGUUCCUAGGCCGAUUCGGAUGUUUCACGAGGCGAAUUUCCCUGAUUACUGCCUAGAGGUCAUUGCAAAAUUAGGAUUUGUUGAGCCAACGGCCAUUCAGGCUCAGGGUUGGCCUAUGGCUUUGAAGGGUAGAGAUUUAGUUGGCAUUGCAGAGACUGGUUCGGGCAAAACUUUGUCAUAUCUGUUACCUGCUUUGGUUCAUGUCAGUGCUCAGCCAAGAUUGGUUCAAGGUGAAGGUCCUAUUGUGUUAGUAUUAGCACCUACUAGAGAAUUAGCUGUUCAAAUACAAGAAGAAGCUCUGAAAUUUGGGUUACGGGCAGGUAUUAGAAGUACUUGCAUCUAUGGUGGUGCUCCUAAAGGGCCACAAAUUCGUGAUCUUCGAAGAGGUGUUGAAAUUGUCAUUGCAACCCCUGGUCGACUGAUAGAUAUGUUGGAUGCUCAACACACAAACUUGCGAAGAGUGACUUACCUUGUGUUGGAUGAGGCUGAUCGGAUGUUGGACAUGGGAUUUGAGCCUCAGAUAAGGAAAAUUGUUGCUCAGAUCCGACCUGAUAGGCAGACUUUGUAUUGGAGUGCUACAUGGCCAAGGGAGGUUGAAACUCUAGCAAGGCAGUUUCUGCGCAAUCCAUACAAGGUAAUCAUUGGAUCAACAGAUCUAAAAGCGAACCAAUCUAUAAAUCAAGUUGUUGAAGUUCUGACAGAGUCAGAGAAGUACAACAGGCUGAUCAAACUACUGAAAGAAGCGAUGGAUGGGAAUCGAAUUCUAAUAUUCACAGAAACCAAAAAGGGGUGUGACCAAAUUACAAGACAACUAAGAAUGGAUGGAUGGCCGGCUCUGUCCAUUCAUGGUGAUAAAAACCAGGCUGAAAGGGAUUGGGUUCUCGCUGAAUUUAGAAGUGGAAGAAGUCCUAUAAUGACUGCUACUGAUGUUGCUGCACGGGGUCUUGGUAGGAUCACUGUGUUUUAGGAGUUUUAGGUCUAAUCUUUUAGGUCUUGAAAGCGAGUUGCCGGGCUGUCCAAUUUCCUAGGAAUAUAAUUUGUGGUCUGGGUGCAAAGAGGCAUGCCAUCAUCCUAAUGGCUCUUGAUUGUUUUUUAUUAACCCAUAAGCAUGAUCCUUUACUUCAAGGAAUUUACAGGUUGGAUGAGAGUCAUUUUGGUUUCUCUUAUUUACUAGAAUAUCCUGUAAAAUAUCUCUUUGGGUACUACCUUAUUCUUGCAGCUCCUGUUACAUGGACACGUGGUGCAUAUUAUAGUAAUAUUACUGAGUGAUAGACUAAGAUUUCAUGAAGAGUUAUGGCAUAAUAUUAUGCAGACCACUGCAGUCUGUCGGGGAAUUUUUUUUUUUUUCUGUUUUAGUGUGAGGGAUACAAUAUUGUCAAAAGCUGGCUCACAUGCGGUUAUAUUCUUUGCGCAAGUUGCCUGAAAUGCCAUGGCUCCUUCCAUCACGUGUCUUAAGUAACAUAUUUGAAGUUAUUGUUGCCCAUCCACGGUUAUGUAGCUGGUUUUUUUGUGGCAGCCUGGUUGACUCACAUGUGCUUAUACGUUUAUUGGAAAAUGGUGGUGUUGAAGCUGUUCCUUAUCCCUGCAAGGUUAAGAUGUGAAGGAUAUAAAAUGUGUGGUCAAUUAUGAUUUUCCAUCCAGCCUUGAGGAUUAUGUUCACCGGAU